AGGGAGACAAAACAAUGAUUUUGAUGUCUGAGUAAUUUAUUCUUAGGCCGAAAUCCUGUCACCUUAGGUCGAUCGGUACCUCAACAUUUUUUCGAAGACUGAUGAGUAAUCAUCAAGAGAUUGAAGGAGAUGUUCAGUUCCUAAACUUUGUCUAGGUCACACCCCGCAAGGGAAGAGUCCCCUGGGCCAUUAGCUCAGGUGGUUAGAGCGCACCCCUGAUAAGGGUGAGGUCCCUGGUUCAAGUCCAGGAUGGCCCAUUCGGUGUUGGGGGUUUAGCUCAGUUGGUAGAGCGCCUGCUUUGCAAGCAGGAUGUCAGGAGUUCGAGUCUCCUAACCUCCACUGACCGAACUCAAUCUCCAUUGUCCGGUUACCCGGAGGAUGAACUCGAGGGAAUGUGAUUUAGAUGUGUCCACUAGAUUGGACCCCAGCUUCCUGUCAUGCCAAAUGAGCAAGUUUUGCUUUAUUGGUUGAUAAGAUGCUGGGCUCAGAUUAAUCGAAAGAUUAAUUUGAUGUCUAGUAGAACCUUGACAACUGCAUAGGUAAGUCUGGAAAAACAAAGCAUCUUACAGAUGCAUUGUUUUAAGCCUGAAUUCUCGAAAGGGAAUUUGGAAUUAGAACAAUGAAAAUUCUUUUGAGCAAGAGCCGAGACUCUUAGAUGUUCUUUGAUUCGUGUCGAGCGAAUCAGAGUUUGAUUUUGUUUUUAUGAACAACGAAAGUUGUUGAUGAAACCAGAAGAAUCUGCUUUCAACCGCAGUAAGCGUUUAAGAGGUUAAUU
rnacentral:tRNA from 1 species